UCCGAGUUGACCCCGGCAGUCUCCUAUGAGUUCCCGGCAUAACCCGCUGGCAACAUAGGACGAGGGUUGCGCUCGUUGCGGGACUUAACCCAACAUCUCACGACACGAGCUGACGACAGCCAUGCACCACCUAUGCAGAGCCCUUACGGACCCCCCAUCUCUGGAGGAUUACCCUGCAUGUCAAACCCAGGUAAGGUGGGGAUGACGUGUAACCGAAUC
rnacentral:misc_RNA from 1 species